GACGGUGUCCUCAGAUGGAGAGAGGAAUGU
rnacentral:piRNA from 1 species